UGAACGCUGGCGGCGUGCUUAACACAUGCAAGUCGAACGAACCUUCGGGUUAGUGGCGGACGGGUGAGUAACGCGUGGGAAUCUGCCCUCAGGAGGGGGAUAACGGCCGGAAACGGCCGCUAAUACCCCAUAUGCCGAGAGGUGAAAUGAAUUUCGCCUGAGGAUGAGCCCGCGUCUGAUUAGCUAGUUGGUGAGGUAAGAGCUCACCAAGGCAUCGAUCAGUAGCUGGUCUGAGAGGAUGAUCAGCCACACUGGGACUGAGACACGGCCCAGACUCCUACGGGAGGCAGCAGUGGGGAAUUUUCCGCAAUGGGCGAAAGCCUGACGGAGCAACGCCGCGUGAGGGAUGAAGGCCUCUGGGCUGUAAACCUCUUUUAUCAAGGAAGAAGAUCUGACGGUACUUGAUGAAUAAGCCACGGC
rnacentral:rRNA from 1 species